CUGCAUUCAUUUCUUUUUUUUUUUACCGUAGAUUCAUUAUACUGAAAAAACGUUCAACCUAAUCAUUCUAGUGCCUCGAAUUCCAGUGAGGCUCGGUUUUAACCUAUGGUGUAUACUGUUGAUUAUCGGAACUUACUUUUAUGUCGUACGAUGACGGCUGGAUUUGUUAACAAUAACCUUGAAUGACGCGUCUGUAUCUCCUAUAGACCUUUUUUGUACUUUUGUACUUAAUCUUUAAUGCUAUAAUUUAUUAAUAUACUUUUUUAAUAAUAUUUUUAUUGAUACAAGUAUUGAAACAUAUUUUAUUGUCCAAAAGUUUGUAAAUAUAGAAAGUCAUCUCCAUUACAUAGAAAUAACCAAUCAUCGAACAAAAUCUAAUUCAUGUGGAUAACAUCAUAUACUUUAUCAAAAUGGAGACAUAAAAUGAAAAAGAAAUGAAACAACGUGGAUAAUGGAUUUCUUAAAGGUGAGCUGACCGUAAAGUAGUUUGUUCUAUACAGCCUUAAAAUGACCCCUAUUUCUAUUUCAUUUGUCCCAGAUCAAACCAAAUUGAAAAAAAAACGCUAAUAAAAUUACUAGAUAUAGCUUAUGUCUUUUCAAUAUGUCACCUAUAGCAAUCAUUUUGAUUUGCCACGAUAAAUUAAUGAAAAACGGAAAAUUUACUUUAAUGUUUAGGAAUAGAAAUAGUAAAAUAACAAAACUACCUGACUACCGAACUCCAAUAAAAAUUCAAAAAGCUCAAGCAUAGUCUUAACUAGGUACAGGCAUUACCUAUUUGGGAAUUUUUGAUAAAACCGGAUUUCUAGGUAGCUAAAUCUUUCUCUUGUAUGACAGCCGAGUAGAAUUCCGUUAUUGUCAACUGUAACAAUGUGUGAGCAAACUAAAAAUACAUAAUUGGUAAACAUGUAAAAUAUUAAGGUACAGCAGUCAACAUUGUGUUAUAAUCAUUAAAACAAACAGCUAUGGCAUAUAGAAACAAACAGGUAUAUAGAGUCUCUAUAAGAGUGUAUACGCCGACAAUCAAGAUCCGUAAGCAUAAAUUUGUUAUAACAUAUUACAUAUCUUAGUUUACUAUUUAGCAUUUUAAAAUUGUCAAAG
rnacentral:lncRNA from 1 species